rnacentral:rRNA from 1 species
UACGUAGGGGGCAAGCGUUGUCCGGAUUUAUUGGGCGUAAAGAGCGUGUAGGCGGCCCGGUAAGUCCGCUGUGAAAGUCGGGGGCUCAACCCUCGAAUGCCGGUGGAUACUGUCGGGCUAGAGUGCGGAAGAGGCGAGUGGAAUUCCUGGUGUAGCGGUGAAAUGCGCAGAUAUCAGGAGGAACACCAAUUGCGAAGGCAGCUCGCUGGGACGUAACUGACGCUGAGACGCGAAAGCGUGGGGAGCGAACAGG